rnacentral:rRNA from 1 species
GGGGAUGGCGGCGUGCUAAUACAUGCAAGUCGAGCGGACAGAAGGGAGCUUGCUCCCGGAUGUUAGCGGCGGACGGGUGAGUAACACGUGGGUAACCUGCCUGUAAGACUGGGAUAACUCCGGGAAACCGGAGCUAAUACCGGAUAGUUCCUUGAACCGCAUGGUUCAAGGAUGAAAGACGGUUUCGGCUGUCACUUACAGAUGGACCCGCGGCGCAUUAGCUAGUUGGUGAGGUAACGGCUCACCAAGGCAACGAUGCGUAGCCGACCUGAGAGGGUGAUCGGCCACACUGGGACUGAGACACGGCCCAGACUCCUACGGGAGGCAGCAGUAGGGAAUCUUCCGCAAUGGACGAAAGUCUGACGGAGCAACGCCGCGUGAGUGAUGAAGGUUUUCGGAUCGUAAAGCUCUGUUGUUAGGGAAGAACAAGUGCAAGAGUAACUGCUUGCACCUUGACGGUACCUAACCAGAAAGCCACGGCUAACUACGUGCCAGCAGCCGCGGUAAUACGUAGGUGGCAAGCGUUGUCCGGAAUUAUUGGGCGUAAAGGGCUCGCAGGCGGUUUCUUAAGUCUGAUGUGAAAGCCCCCGGCUCAACCGGGGAGGGUCAUUGGAAACUGGGAAACUUGAGUGCAGAAGAGGAGAGUGGAAUUCCACGUGUAGCGGUGAAAUGCGUAGAGAUGUGGAGGAACACCAGUGGCGAAGGCGACUCUCUGGUCUGUAACUGACGCUGAGGAGCGAAAGCGUGGGGAGCGAACAGGAUUAGAUACCCUGGUAGUCCACGCCGUAAACGAUGAGUGCUAAGUGUUAGGGGGUUUCCGCCCCUUAGUGCUGCAGCUAACGCAUUAAGCACUCCGCCUGGGGAGUACGGUCGCAAGACUGAAACUCAAAGGAAUUGACGGGGGCCCGCACAAGCGGUGGAGCAUGUGGUUUAAUUCGAGCACGCGAAGGAGCCUUACCAGGUCUUGACAUCCUCUGACAACCCUAGAGAUAGGGCUUUC